rnacentral:rRNA from 1 species
UACGAAGGGGGCUAGCGUUGCUCGGAAUCACUGGGCGUAAAGCGCACGUAGGCGGUCUUUUAAGUCGGGGGUGAAAUCCUGGAGCUCAACUCCAGAACUGCCUUCGAUACUGGAAGACUUGAGUCCGGGAGAGGUGAGUGGAACUGCGAGUGUAGAGGUGAAAUUCGUAGAUAUUCGCAAGAACACCAGUGGCGAAGGCGGCUCACUGGCCCGGUACUGACGCUGAGGUGCGAAAGCGUGGGGAGCAAACAGG